rnacentral:rRNA from 1 species
GAUGAACGCUGGCGGCGUGCCUAAUACAUGCAAGUCGAGCGAACAGACGAGGAGCUUGCUCCUCUGACGUUAGCGGCGGACGGGUGAGUAACACGUGGAUAACCUACCUAUAAGACUGGGAUAACUUCGGGAAACCGGAGCUAAUACCGGAUAAUAUAUUGAACCGCAUGGUUCAAUAGUGAAAGACGGUUUUGCUGUCACUUAUAGAUGGAUCCGCGCCGCAUUAGCUAGUUGGUAAGGUAACGGCUUACCAAGGCAACGAUGCGUAGCCGACCUGAGAGGGUGAUCGGCCACACUGGAACUGAGACACGGUCCAGACGCCUACGGGAGGCAGCAGUAGGGAAUCUGCCGCAAAGGGCGAAAGCCUGACGGAGCAACGCCGCGUGAGUGAUGAAGGUCUUCGGAUCGUAAAACUCUGUUAUUAGGGAAGAACAAAUGUGUAAGUAACUAUGCACGUCUUGACGGUACCUAAUCAGAAAGCCACGGCUAACUACGUG